UACGUAGGGGGCGAGCGUUGUCCGGAUUUAUUGGGCGUAAAGAGCGUGUAGGCGGCCAGGUAGGUCUGCUGUGAAAACUCGAGGCUCAACCUCGAGAUGUCGGCGGAAACCACUUGGCUAGAGUCCGGAAGAGGAGAGUGGAAUUCCCGGUGUAGCGGUGAAAUGCGCAGAUAUCGGGAAGAACACCCGUGGCGAAGGCGGCUCUCUGGGACGGUACUGACGCUGAGACGCGAAAGCGUGGGGAGCGAACAGG
rnacentral:rRNA from 1 species